rnacentral:rRNA from 1 species
CUACGGGGCGCAGCAGUGAGGAAUAUUGCACAAUGGAGGAAACUCUGAUGCAGCAACGCCGCGUGGAGGAUGACGCAUUUCGGUGUGUAAACUCCUUUUAUAUGUCAAGAAAAUGACGGUAGCAUAUGAAUAAGCUCCGGCUAACUCCGUGCCAGCAGCCGCGGUAAUACGGGGGGAGCAAGCGUUACUCGGAAUCACUGGGCGUAAAGGACGCGUAGGCGGGAUAGAAAGUCAGGUGUGAAAUCCUAUGGCUCAACCAUAGAACUGCACUUGAAACUUCUAACCUAGAGUAUGGGAGGGGAAGAUGGAAUUAGUGGUGUAGGGGUAAAAUCCGUAGAUAUCACUAGGAAUACCAAAAGCGAAGGCGAUCUUCUGGAACAAUACUGACGCUAAGGCGUGAAAGCGUGGGGAGCAAACAGGAUUAGAUACCCGAGUAGUC